GACAGAGGGUGCAAACGUUGUUCGGAAUUACUGGGCGUAAAGAGUGUGUAGGCGGCUAUGUAAGUCGGAUGUGAAAGCCCCGGGCUCAACUCGGGAAGUGCACUCGAUACUGCGUAGCUUGAGUACCGGAGAGGUUGGUGGAAUUCUCGGUGUAGAGGUGAAAUUCGUAGAUAUCGGGAGGAACACCGGUGGCGAAGGCGGCGAUCUGGGUCGAUACUGACGCUGAGGCGCGAAAGCGUGGGGAGCAAACAGG
rnacentral:rRNA from 1 species